GACGAACGCUGGCGGCGUGCUUAACACAUGCAAGUCGAACGGUAAGGCCCUUCGGGGUACACGAGUGGCGAACGGGUGAGUAACACGUGGGUGAUCUGCCCUGCACUUCGGGAUAAGCCUGGGAAACUGGGUCUAAUACCGGAUAGGACUCCUGGCUUCAUGGUUGGGGGUGGAAAGCUUUUGCGGUGUGGGAUGGGCCCGCGGCCUAUCAGCUUGUUGGUGGGGUAAUGGCCUACCAAGGCGACGACGGGUAGCCGGCCUGAGGGGGUGACCGGGCACAGGGGGACUGAGAGACUGCCCAGACUCCUACGGGAGGCAGCAGUGGGGAAUAUUGCACAAUGGGCGCAAGCCUGAUGCAGCGACGCCGCGUGAGGGAUGACGGCCUUCGGGUUGUAAACCUCUUUCAGCACAGACGAAGCGCAAGUGACGGUAUGUGCAGAAGAAGGACCGGCCAACUACGUGCCAGCCGCCGCCGUAA
rnacentral:rRNA from 1 species